GCGCUAGGUCAUUUAGUUAUCCUUGGUGGUCUUGUUUAUAUCCCCCAAUAUUAACCCCACAUACCCCCUAUAUGGGGUAUAUGGGGUUAUAUGGGGUUAUAUGGGGUUAUAUGGGGUUAUAUGGGGGGUAUAUGGGGUUAUAGGGACCUACGCGUGGAUGGCACCCGAGGUCAUAAGGACAUCCACC
rnacentral:lncRNA from 1 species